AGUUGUUGUGGUUAAAAGCUCGUAGUAGAAGCUCGGGCUCCGGCCGACUGGUCCGCCUCACCGCGUGCACUGGUUCGGCCGGGCCUUCACCUUCUGCGGAACCGCAUCUCCUUCACUGGGGGUGUCGGGGAAACAGGACGUUUACUGUGAAAAAAUUAGAGUGCUCCAGGCAGGCCUAUGCUCGAAUAGAUUAGCAUGGAAUAAUGGAAUAGGACGUGUGGUCUUAUUUCGUUGGUUUCUAGGACCGCCGUAAUGAUUAAUAGGGACAGUCGGGGGCAUCAGUAUUCAAUCGUCAGAGGUGAAAUUCUUGGAUCGAUUGAAGACUAACUACUGCGAAAGCAUUUGCCAAGGAUGUUUUCAUUUAUCAGGAACGAAAGUUAGGGGAUCGAAGACGAUCAGAUACCGUCGUAGUCUUAACCAUAAACUAUGCCGACUAGGGAUCGGACGGUGUUAUUUCUUGACCCGUUCGGCA
rnacentral:rRNA from 1 species